rnacentral:pre_miRNA from 1 species
ACUUGUGAGGAAAGAAAGGAAGUUAGGCUGAGGGGCAGAGAGCGAGACUUUUCUAUUUUCCAAAAGCUCGGUCUGAGGCCCCUCAGUCUUGCUUCCUACCCCGCGCUUG